UCGCUAGGGGUGCCAAUCAAGCUUUGCUGAUUGGCUGAGAUCACACCCUCUGAACCUGAUCCGGCUUGCACCGGCGAAGGGAAGUGA
rnacentral:ncRNA from 1 species